AGUGAACGCUGGCGGUAGGCCUAACACAUGCAAGUCGAACGGCAGCACAGUAAGCGCUUGCUCUUACGGGUGGCGAGUGGCGGACGGGUGAGGCAUACAUCGGAAUCUACUUUUUCGUGGGGGGUAACGUAGGGAAACUUACGCUAAUACCGCAUACGACCUACGGCUGAAAGCAGUGGAUCUUCGCACCUUGCGCGAUUGUAUGAGCCGAUGUCGGAUUAGCUAGUUGGCGGGGUAAAGGCCCACCAAGGCGACGAUCCGUAGCUGGUCUGAGAGGAUGAUCAGCCACACUGGAACUGAGACACGGUCCAGACUCCUACGGGAGGCAGCAGUGGGGAAUAUUGGACAAUGGGCGCAAGCCUGAUCCAGCCAUACCGCGUGGGUGAAGAAGGCCUUCGGGUUGUAAAGCCCUUUUGUUGGGAAAGAAAAGCAGCAGGUUAAUACCCCGCUGUUCUGACGGUACCCAAAGAAUAAGCACCGGCUAACUUCGUG
rnacentral:rRNA from 1 species